UCGAAGCCGACAUAACCCGGAGGCGCGCCGAUCAGACGCGACACGGUAUGGCGCUCCAUGUACUCCGACAUGUCGAAGCGGAUCAGCUCGACACCGAGCGACGCCGCCAGUUGCUUGGCGACUUCGGUCUUGCCGACGCCGGUCGGACCCGAGAACAGAUACGAACCAAUCGGCUUCUCCGGCUCGCGCAGGCCCGCACGGGCGAGCUUGAUCGACGCGGCCAAAGCCUCGAUAGCCUUCUCCUGACCGAACACAGUCCGCUUGAGAGUGGUCUCAAGAUGCUUGAGCACCUCGGCAUCGUCCUUGGAGACCGACU
rnacentral:misc_RNA from 1 species